UAAUACAGAGGGUGCGAGCGUUAAUCGGAAUUACUGGGCGUAAAGGGUGCGUAGGUGGUUAAAUAAGUUAGGUGUGAAAUUCCUGGGCUCAACUUGGGGACUGCGCCUGAUACUGUUUGACUAGAGUACUGUAGAGGGAAGUGGAAUUUCCGGUGUAGCGGUGAAAUGCGUAGAUAUCGGAAGGAACAUCAGUGGCGAAGGCGAUUUUCUGGACAGAUACUGACACUGAGGCACGAAAGCGUGGGGAGCAAACAGGAUUAGAUACCCUGGUAGUCCAUGCUGUAAACGAUGAGAACUGGCUGUUGGGUACGAUAAGUACUUAGUAGCGAAGCUAACGCGCUAAGUUCUCCGCCUGGGGAGUACGGCCGCAAGGUUA
rnacentral:rRNA from 1 species